UACGUAGGGUCCGAGCGUUGUCCGGAAUUACUGGGCGUAAAGAGCUCGUAGGUGGUUUGUCACGUUGUUCGUGAAAACCCACAGCUCAACUGUGGGCGUGCGAGCGAUACGGGCAGACUAGAGUACUGCAGGGGAGACUGGAAUUCCUGGUGUAGCGGUGGAAUGCGCAGAUAUCAGGAGGAACACCGGUGGCGAAAGCGGCCACCUGGACUGUACCUGACGCUGACACGCGAAAGCUAGGGGAGCGAACGGG
rnacentral:rRNA from 1 species